rnacentral:misc_RNA from 1 species
CCGAAAUCGAGGUGAUGUUUACGAUCGCUCCGCCGCCGGUCUCGCGCAUCAGCGGCGCUGCCGCCUGGGUGCAAAGGAACGGACCGGUCAGAUUGACCGCCAGAACGCGAUCCCAAUCGGCCUGCGUCGUUUCCAGCAGCGGCUUGAAGAUCGCGAUGCCGGCAUUGUUGACCAGCGCAUCGAGCCGUCCGAAAUGCUGGAUCGCCUGUUUGAAUGCCGCAGCGACCGCGUCGGCAUCCGAUACAUCGCAAUGGAUUG